rnacentral:lncRNA from 1 species
UAUUAUAUAAAUUAUAUAUAGUUACAUAUACAUUAUACACAGUUAGUAACCGUGGUUAUAACUUACACAAUUGAAAUUGUCCUAAUGUAUAACCAUAACCAAUAACUAUAGUGGAAUGGUAUUUGUAACAACUAUACGAAAUGAGGUAAGUAAAACAUUUCCAUAGUUAUUUACCACGUUUACGUCAUAUUCGUUUUUCAGAUAUCAUCGAUUUAAAAAUAAAAACUAAUAAAAGUUAAAUAAUUAUUUCCACACAAGGUGUAUUUGGACGGUAAUAUCCGACAGUCGCUGUUGCAUUAGUCACUGUCGUAGAACUGUCAUGAUGUAAAUCAUGCAAUGGUAGUCGGUCGCAUUAUAUAUUUAUGUUCUUCGCAAAAUAUAUUGAACAUAUUUGUGUAAACUAUAAUAGGUAUUCUUAUUUUUAUGGUGAUCAUUUACUAGGAAAUUCAGCUUACUAUACUAGGUACUGUAAAUGUAAUUGAUAAUUGCUUAAUAAUAAUCGCUUCAUUAGAUAUACUAAUUAUGUACUUAAUAAGUAUAACAGUAUAUAUUCAACUCAAAUCUCAAUAUGUUCAACAUCAAUUAAAAUAAGUAAUUAAUUAUAAACUUAAAAAUGAUGGCGUUCUAAUUUUAUUGACUGACAUAGUUAUUUGCCAAAACAUAAUACAACCCAUAUAAAUUUCCGGUUGGUCAAACCCCCCAAACCCCUUCAUAUACAGCAUAGCGUAUGCGACCUUAUGCAAGGGACAUCGUCUUAAUUUUGGACUUUGCACAAAAAAAAUUCUACACACCACUGGCUAGUACAUCUGUAUAACUAAAUAACUAAUGUAAUAAAACGAUUCUAUACGAUCUCAUAAUAAUAUACGUUCUGCCGUGGAAAUAGAAAACGUAAUACAUGAAAUCUAUUGUCGAUGUCUGUGAUUCGCCCAAUUCACGAUACUUCAAGUACCAGGAAAACGUACAAGUGUCAAGCCAAGUUAAGUGAACUAGAUAAAAAAAACCUCGAUGUAAUAUAAAGUGUUUGUAACGUUAAAAUGACAUUGCGUAUUCCGCUAACGCUUAAUUACUACGCGCAAACACUUAAAAUUACUGUAUAAAAUAAUCGCAUUUGUUAUUAAACAAAUUAUAUACACAUCAAUAUCAAUAUUUUAAUAUAAUAUAUCAUUUGAUUUAAAUAAUUACAAAUCAUUUGGGUUAGAACCAUUGUUAAUUGGUAUUGCUAUGUAUUACAAAAUAAAUUCCGUGAAUCUUUUUAAAUUAAUACAAAUUAUGUUUACUAUAGAUUAUGGCGCAAUUGGAAAUAUCCAUCGGACUCUUUGCCCAAACAAUUGUGGUCGCAGUUAUAACAGAAAGUACAAUCUAAACAGGCAUUUAAUGUUUGAAUGUGGAGUAAAACCAAAGUUUCAAUGUUAUUUUUGUCAACGACGAUUCACGCGAAAAGCAGCUAUGCAACAACACGUCGCAAUUAUUCACAAUUCAAUUAUUUGAUUAUAUUAUCAUGCAAUCUAUGCAAUCUUAUACAUGUAUAAAAUAAGAGUACAUAGACAAAUACAUCUAGGUAGAGCAUUAGUACCGUGUAGUAGUGGACAGGGUGAUCGCCUCCUUUCCUUGGGCCGUGUUUCUUACAUAAUUCUUAUAUUCUACAAUUGUUUAUAUAAUAUAUAUAUUUUUUUUUUUUUUUCAAUAAAAGCAACUCCCCUUCUAACCUAAUCACCUCAGGAUUCGCCACUAGGGUCGGGUUUUCGAUACCUGAUAUAUGACCAUUGUAACUGAGAUGUAAAAGUGAACAAAAUUUUAGGAUAGCCAAUUAAAAUACUAAUUUUUUUUUUUUAUAUAUUUAGUUCUCGCGAACAGCUCUAUCCACUUUUACGCGUUAUGUUCCGUCUAAAUAUAUAAGUCUAUUUUGAUAUAUAACACAGACACGUAUAUAAGGUUAAUCCACCCCAACAUUUUAAAAACGAAUAAUAUAUUACUUCUAUAAUUUAUAAUGUUUAAUUGGUUUUAUAUAUAAAACUUCCCUGAUCCCGAUUAUUUUUUUCCGUGUACAUGCCUAAAAUAACACAAUAAACAAACAUGCCAUUAACAGAUAGACACGAUAAUUGCCGACAGAGUAGGAGAUAUAUUAUGUUAAACCUAAAUCAUGUCUGUUUUAUAUAUCAAUUAAUUAACUCAAACCAUAUUAAUAUAUCAACUAUUUUUUCAAUUAAAAAUGACUUUUGUACUCUUUGGCCCUUCCAAAAC